rnacentral:rRNA from 1 species
UACGUAGGCAGCAAGCGUUGUUCGGAGUUACUGGGCGUAAAGGGUGCGUAGGCGGCUCUAUAAGUAUGGUGUGAAAUCUCCCGGCUUAACUGGGAGGGUGCGCUAUAGACUGUGGGGCUAGAGUGUGGGAGAGGAAAGUGGAAUUCCUGGUGUAGCGGUGAAAUGCGUAGAUAUCAGGAGGAACACCGGUGGUGUAAACGGCUUUCUGGACCAUAACUGACGUGGAGGCAACGAAAGCGUGGGUAGCAAACAGG